GACGAUCCCUAGCUGGUCUGAGAGGAUGACCAGCCACACUGGAACUGAGACACGGUCCAGACUCCUACGGGAGGCAGCAGUGGGGAAUAUUGCACAAUGGGCGCAAGCCUGAUGCAGCCAUGCCGCGUGUAUGAAGAAGGCCUUCGGGUUGUAAAGUACUUUCAGCGGAGAGGAAGGCGUUGAGGUUAAUAACCUCAGCGAUUGACGUUACCCGCAGAAGAAGCACCGGCUAACUCCGUGCCAGCAGCCGCGGUAAUACGGAGGGUGCAAGCGUUAAUCGGAAUUACUGGGCGUAAAGCGCACGCUAGGCGGUCUGUCAAGUCGGAUGUGAAAUCCCCGGCGCUCAACCGUGGGAACUGCAUUCGAAACUGGCAGGCUAGAGUCUUGUAGAGGGGGGUAGAAUUCCAGGUGUAGCGGUGAAAUGCGUAGAGAUCUGGAGGAAUACCGGUGGCGAAGGCGGCCUCCCUGGACAAAGACUGACGCUCAGGUGCGAAAGCGUGGGGAGCAAACAGGAUUAGAUACCCUGGUAGUCCACGCCGUAAACGAUGUCGACUUGGAGGUUGUGCCCUUGAGGCGUGGCUUCCGGAGCUAACGCGUUAAGUCGACCGCCUGGGGAGUACGGCCGCAAGGUCUAAAACUCAAAUGAAUUGACGGGGGCCCGCACAAGCGGUGGAGCAUGUGGGUGAAUUCGAUGCAACGCGAAAAACCUUACCUACUCUUGACAUCCAGAGAACUUUCCAGAAAUGGAUUGGUGCCUUCGGGAACUCUGAAACAGGUGCUGCAUGGCUGUCGUCAGCUCGUGUUGUGAAAUGUUGGGUUAAGUCCCGCAACGAGCGCAACCCUUAUCCUUUGUUGCCAGCGGUCCGGCCGGGAACUCAAAGGAGACAUGCCAGUGAUAAACUGGAGGAAGGGGGGGAUGACGUCCAGUCAUCCUGGGGCGGUGGGGAGUAAGGCUACACACGUGCUACAAUGGGCGCAUACAAAGAGAAGCGACCUCCCGAGAGCAAGCGGACCUCCUAAAGUGCGUCGUAAUCCCGAUUGGAGUCUGCACUCCACUCCCUGAA
rnacentral:rRNA from 1 species